UUGGUGCCUUCGGGAACUCUGAGACAGGUGCUGCAUGGCUGUCGUCAGCUCGUGUUGUGAAAUGUUGGGUUAAGUCCCGCAACGAGCGCAACCCUUAUCCUUGUUUGCCAGCACUUCGGGUGGGAACUCCAGGGAGACUGCCGGUGAUAAACCGGAGGAAGGUGGGGACGACGUCAAGUCAUCAUGGCCCUUACGAGUAGGGCUACACACGUGCUACAAUGGCGUAUACAGAGGGCUGCCAACUCGCGAGAGUGAGCGAAUCCCAUAAAGUACGUCGUAGUCCGGAUUGGAGUCUGCAACUCGACUCCAUGAAGUCGGAAUCGCUAGUAAUCGUGAAUCAGAAUGUCACGGUGAAUACGUUCCCGGGCCUUGUACACACCGCCCGUCACACCAUGGGAGUGGGCUGCACCAGAAGUAGAUAGCUUAACCUUCGGGAGGGCGUUUACCACGGUGUGGUUCAUGACUGGGGUGAAGUCGUAACAAGGUAGCCCUAGGGGAACCUGGGGCUGGAUCACCUCCUUACCUAAAGA
rnacentral:rRNA from 1 species